AUGGGGCACCACUGCUGCAGCAAGCAGAAGGUGAAGCGGGGGCUAUGGUCCCCAGAGGAGGACGAGAAGCUCCUCAGGUACAUCACGGCGCACGGCCACAGCUGCUGGAGCGCCGUCCCCAAGAACGCCGGGCUGCAGCGCUGCGGCAAGAGCUGCCGGCUCCGGUGGAUCAACUACCUCCGCCCGGACCUGAAGCGCGGCACCUUCUCCGAGCAGGAGGAGCGCACCAUCCUCGACGUCCACCGCAUCCUCGGCAACCGGUGGGCACAGAUCGCCAAGCAUCUGCCGGGCCGCACAGACAACGAGGUCAAGAACUUCUGGAACUCGUGCAUCAAGAAGAAGCUCAUCGCGCAGGGUCUCGACCCCAAGACCCACAACCUGCUCCCGGCAUCCAAGAACCUCCUCCAUGCACAUGGCGCCACCGGCUCCAGCAGCAACCCUAGCAACAACCCUGCUGCAGGCGCCCAAUUCCAUUCUCCCAAUGGAAACCGGAACGGUUGCGCCACGCCGCUGUUCACCAUCAGCUCCCCGACCAAGGCGAUCUACGACGCUGCCACGGUUGCGCCGGGUUUGUACGACGUCCAUAACCCUGGCAUGCUGAUGGGGCAGCACGAGCGCGGUCACCAAGCUGCGCUGGCCAUGCAGCAGGGCUACCCGUACGUCCACAACAACGGCGGUGGUUUACUCCUGAGCUUCAGGGAUCAGACCGCCGCGGGCGUCCACGCCUCCAUGGACUUCAUGAAUGGCUCUUCUAAUUCGUCGUCUUCCAUGGAGUACGCGGCCGGCAUGCCCAACGGCAACGUCUUCAACCCGGGCGUGGCGGCGUUCAUGGACGAGACGGCCGCAAUGUGGGCCACAGUUGUCGAACCAGGAAUGGGUCCCGGGAUCGAAAUGGCACAUGAGCAUCGACAACAGCAUGGGUUGGGGCUGGAAGAGGUAGUUCGACUUGGACCCCCGCCGCCGCCAUUGAUCAACGGCGGUAGCUCAGGUGGCAAGGGACUGGAUAUGAUGGACGUCUCUUCGGAAGUGUACGGCUCCGCCGGUACAACGGCGGCGUUCGACCUUGAGCUGAUGGAGUCGUGCGGAUUAUUUUGCGGCGCCGCUGGCAAUGGCAUGGAGCAGCUGCAAUGGGAUUGCUAA
rnacentral:rRNA from 1 species